ACUGUCCAACCGUAAGCAUUCGGAAACCGCCUACGAACAAUCAUGGUAUUGUGCGCAUCACCAUCGAGUCUAACAGCAACCUUUCUCCACGCAAGCCUAUGCCAGUUUUUGGCAAUAGUAAUUUCGUUAGACAAAAAACCAUUAUUCAUGUUGUUUAGCUCAGUAAUUCCAUCAAAAGUAGAAAAAGAGGCAGCUGGAUCAUGGACAUUAUCAGAUACAACAACUUUAUGCAGAUGAUAUUUAAAAAAGUAAGAAUCUGUCGGAACAGCUGGGAUAAACAAAUUUGUAAAAGUGUUGACAACUCGUUGUGCAACUCCUGAAAACGUGGAAGUUGGAUCUAAUUUAGGGGCUGAGCAAAAAAAUUGGUUUGAAGAAUUUGAGACAUCUAAUUCAUCUGAGCCAAGACAAUUGGGUUCAGUAGGCUUCCUAGCAUUUUCAUCCUCAUUUUUUACUAAUGGAAUUUCAGUAUCUGUAGUUUUGGAUGCCGAAUAACUGAACAAUCCUACAAAGGAUUUAAGAGCUUUAGAAAAUGAAGAUCCAGAUUCUUCUGAAGAAGCAUGGAUUUUCUUUGCAUUAUCUCCGACACUUUGAACUGUUUGCUCAUUUUCUUUUAGUGUUGGUGAAAUGCCAUUUUCCAUAUGCGUAGGCAUAACCUUAUCUGAACCCUCAGCUUCCUCUACCUUACCCAAAGAACUAACUUCCAUUGCGCUAGUUCCAAAAGGGACGAUAUAGUCAUUGGUAGUAUUUGCAAAUAAUAUUCUUUUUUCAAAAAACGAAACAGCUUGAAAGAAAGGCGUGGAAGGAUCAGACAUCAAAACAAGGAAAGGUCUUGAUUCAAUGGAGUGAUUCAGUGGAGUUAAAGAUAAGUCUUGUCCUGUCUUACCAAUGAUACCAUAGGACAAAGCCUUACCAAUAUAAGAAGGAUGUUCACCAGCAACACCGAGCCAAGGAGUUGCCAAAGUUACAAAAAACACAGGGUGAAUAGCCUGAAAAAAGGCACCGUGCGUUUUUGCAUGUACAUAACCAACAGCAUAUGUUUGAACCAAUCCACCAAGUGAGUGGGCGACAACUGAUAUAUGGGAAUAUCGAGGAAAAGAUGCACUUCCCCAGCCCGUAAUAUCCAACAGCCAUUCACCAAGUCGUUUACCCAGCCAGCGAACCCCUUUCUCAGUCUGACAGUAGUUACCGGUAAAUCCUCGAACAACUACUAGUUCCUUAACAGAUUUUGAUGAUUCUAUUAGUUUUUCUUUUAAAUACUCCAUAUCAGCACCAACAUUAGAAUGCAUUCCAUGAGUUAGCACCACCAAAUGUGAAUUCUUUGAAUGAAAUGAAGAAUACGGAAGACGCCAUAAAUUUUCCGGAGUUUGAUGUUCAACGUGUAGAGCAGGGAAUGCAUGAAGAGUAUCGAUAUCAGCAGCUGACAUGGCUCGAAUGGAAUGUUGAGAUUGCGAUAUAGCAAGCUCAAAGUUAAUAGAUCUAUCUUUAAAAAUCGCCUGACUUGCAAUUUCAAUGUAAAUAGGCUGCUGAUUGGAAAAACAUGAAUAAGGUACACAGACCCAAAAACUAGUAGAGGGCUGUACCUGAGGAUCAAAGUUUAAUAAAGAAUUUUUUUCAUCAAAAAAUUGGUCAUUCCAAACGCUAACGCAUAAUGUAAAUGGACCUUGAAGAUAGGCUGCCUGGCGGAAACGUGCUUCUCUAUUCCUGACACGAAUCCAAAGUACCGAGUUAGUCGAAUUUAUGAAGGGAGCUGUAGAGUCGCUUCCUGCCAAGGGAUUUUUUACUUCACGAAGAUUAAUAGAAGAGAAUGAAGUACCUACAGAAGGAGAAGAAGAGGUAUGAGAGACACCUCUUGUUUGUUCAGGUAUGUUGAUUGCAUUGGUAUUAUCUGUAAACGCACCAACUUUAUGAUAAUCUUUUGAAGAAGAUGAAAAAUCGCUGGAAAGAAGAGGUGAGGAUUCUGAAUUUGCAUGCUUCGGAUUCGUGCUACUAUUAUUCUCUGAGAUUUGCUUGCUGAUAUUCUCCCCACUAGAGAUUGUCAUCCCACCUGAACCUGCUCUAUCCUCGAUGCUACCACUCUCUUUCUUAGUCACUGAAUUGAGGUUCACAGUGGGGGGCACAGUUGUAGAAGACGUUGCCGAAUGCAAAUUGCCCCCACUCUGCACAAAAAUUCGAAAUCGAUGUAUUUGACCUAAACCAACUGUACCAUGCCAAUGUUAGAACAAGUAUUAAAUAUUUAUAUG
rnacentral:lncRNA from 1 species